rnacentral:lncRNA from 1 species
UAGAAGAAGAGGCGAGCGAGUUGAAGAAGCAAGGAGGAAGUGCCGGAAGCAAGGACAACCGGAGAGGGAACGCCGGAGAGAGAGAGAUGGUCGAGCGGGCGAGCGGAGAGGGAGAGGGGCCGAGCGGACAGGGAGAGGGUCGAGCGGACAGGGAGAGGGAAGAGCGGACAGGGAGAGGGGAAUAGAGAGAUAAUUGAUGAUUAUUUAGGGUUUAGUUUAGGGUAUUGGGUUUAUUUUAGAUAUUUUAA